rnacentral:tmRNA from 1 species
GGGGGCGACCUGGUUUCGACGGGGAUGGUUGAAGCUAAGGUUGCAGGCCGAGGCGCCGCUGGCCUCGUUAAAAGCGGCAAGGCAUAAUUGCCAACGAUACUGAAUACGCACUGGCAGCAUAGCUUAGCCAGCACUGACCUAGACUGACGCCUGAUAUUCUAGCGACGUGAAAACCCCCAUCGGGCUGGCUACAGAUUUUCUGAUUGUUGGAAUCUGGGCGAGAACCUUAAGCGAUCUGGUCGUGAUGACGCCUGUUCAUCGGCAGUUGAGCGACGAGAACUAAUAGAUGGACUAAGCCUGUAGAUGCCUUAAGUGGAGCAUUCUCGGACGGGGGUUCGAUUCCCCCCGCCUCCACCA